GAUGAAGAACGUAGCGAAAUGCGAUAAGUAAUGUGAAUUGCAGAAUUCAGUGAAUCAUCGAAUCUUUGAACGCACAUUGCGCCCCUUGGUAUUCCGAGGGGCAUGCCUGUUCGAGCGUCAUUAUAACCCCUCAAGCUCAGCUUGGUGUUGGGGCCUGCUGCACUGGCAGCCCUUAAAAUCAGUGGCGGCGCCAUCUGGCUCUAAGCGUAGUAAUUCUUCUCGCUAUGGAGUCCUGGUGGAUGCUUGCCAUCAACCCCCAAUUUUUCUAUGGUUGACCUCGGAUCAGGUAGGGAUACCCGCUGAACUUAAGCAUAUCCAAUAAGCGGAGGA
rnacentral:misc_RNA from 1 species